GAAAUGUCCGCACUGCAUACUGAGCUGUGGCUUUUCGGGGCCCAGGCUUUUUGUUUCAGAGACCACAGACCAACUGAGGAAGAGGAAGUGGAGGAGGAUGUGACUGACAUGAUGAUAUUUUACAUUCAGUCUGAAGUUCAGACAGUCAGCAUCAAGACAACAUGGAGGUCACAGCUCUCUGCUUCAGGCUACUGACGAUCAUGUUGUUCUUGCUAGUUGCAAACGAUCACUACGGUUUUUCUCUCAAUGUUGUUGCUGAUUUUCCUCGGGUCGUUCCAGAGAGACAGCAGUUCUUUGAAUACGAAUCCAUCGUUGUUAGUUGUGAGGGGCUGAUGGGGUUAACAGGAUGGAGGGUG